GACGAACCGUCCAAACGUUAUUCGGAAUCACUGGGCUUAAAGGGUGCGUAGGCGGCGCGGAAAGUUGGGUGUGAAAUCCCUCGGCUCAACCGAGGAAUUGCGCCCAAAACUUCCGUGCUCGAGGAAGAUAGAGGUGAGCGGAACUUAGGGUGGAGCGGUGAAAUGCGUUGAUAUCCUAAGGAACACCGGUGGCGAAAGCGGCUCACUGGAUCUGUUCUGACGCUGAGGCACGAAAGCUAGGGUAGCGAACGGG
rnacentral:rRNA from 1 species